rnacentral:rRNA from 1 species
CCUACGGGAGGCUGCAGUCGAGAAUCUUCGGCAAUGGGCGCAAGCCUGACCGAGCGACGCCGCGUGGAGGACGAAGGCCUUCGGGUUGUAAACUCCUGUCGAGGGGGAAGAAGGCGCAAGCUUGACUGAUCCCUGGAGGAAGCACGGGCUAAGUUCGUGCCAGCAGCCGCGGUAAGACGAACCGUGCGAACGUUAUUCGGAAUCACUGGGCUUAAAGCGCGUGUAGGCGGAGCGACACGUCGGUAGCUGAAAGCCCCCGGCUCAACCGGGGAACGGGCGCCGAUACGAUCGUUCUCGAGGGACGUAGGGGGACCUGGAACUUCCGGUGGAGCGGUGAAAUGCGUUGAGAUCGGAAGGAACGCCCGUGGCGAAAGCGAGGUCCUGGACGUUUUCUGACGCUGAGACGCGAAAGCCAGGGGAGCGAACGGGAUUAGAUACCCGUGUAGUC